rnacentral:rRNA from 1 species
GUAAAUAAUUAAGGGCGUAUGGUGGAUGCCUAGGCUCUCAGAGGCGAUGAAGGACGUGAUAAGCUGCGAAAAGCUCCGUUUAGGUGCAAAUAACCUUUGAUGCGGAGAUCUCCGAAUGGGAUAACCCAAUAUGUUGAAGACAUAUUAUACCGUAAGGUAGGCAAACGCAGGGAACUGAAACAUCUAAGUACCUGCAGGAGAAGAAAACAAACGUGAUUCCCCCAGUAGCGGCGAGCGACCGGGGAAAAGCCCAAACCGUUAUUGUUUCGGCAUUAACGGGGUAGUAGGACUGCGACAUUGAUGAAAUAAAUGAAAUGGAACACCUUGGAAAAUGUGAUCACAGAGGGUGAUAAUCCCGUACAUGCAAGUUUAUGAAUCAUAGCAGACUCCUGAGUAAGUCGGGACACGUGUAAUCCUGACCGAAUCCGCCGGGACCAUCCGGCAAGGCUAAAUACUCCUGAGAGACCGAUAGUGAACCAGUACCGUGAGGGAAAGGUGAAAAGCACUUCGAACAGAAGAGUGAAAUAGUCCCUGAACCCAUACGCCUACAAGCUGUCGGAGCCGCUUCGUGCGGUGACGGCGUGCCUUUUGCAUAAUGAGCCUACGAGUUACUCAUCACCAGCGAGGUUAAGUACUUCAGGUACGUAAGCCGAAGCGAAAGCGAGUCUGAAUAGGGCGUCAAGUUGGUGGUGGUAGACGCGAAACCUUAGUGAUCUACCCAUGGGCAGGGUGAAGGUUUGGUAACACAAACUGGAGGCCCGAACCGGUAAACGUUGAAAAGUUUUCGGAUGACCUGUGGGUAGGGGUGAAAGGCCAAUCAAACUGGGAAAUAGCUCGUACUCUCCGAAAUGCAUUUAGGUGCAGCCUCUGUUGUUUUGUUCUAGAGGUAGAGCUACUGAUUGGAUGCGAGGGCUUCACCGCCUAUCAAAUCCGGCCAAACUCCGAAUGCUAGAACAUGAAGACAGGGAGUGAGCCAGCGGGUGCUAAGGUCCGUUGACGAAAGAGGGAGAACUCAGACCAUCAGCUAAGGUCCCCAAUUGUAUGCUAAGUUGGAAUUAAAACGGGGUGGGACUGCUUAGACAGCUAGGAUGUUGGCUUGGAAGCAGCCAUUCAUUUAAAGAGUGCGUAACAGCUCACUAGUCGAGCGGUCCUGCAUGGAUAAUACGCGGGCAUAAGCAUAUAACCGAAGCUAUGGGAUUGUAGAUGAUACAAUCGGUAGGAGAGCAUUCCAUUCAGCGUAGAAGCAGUAUCGUGAGGUAUUGUGGAGCGGAUGGAAAAGCAAAUGUAGGCAUAAGUAACGAUAAUGCGGGUGAGAACCCCGCACGCCGAAAGAUCAAGGAUUCCCCGGCAAUGUCAAUCAUCCGGGGGUAAGUCGGAUCCUAAGGGUAAGCCGAGUGGCGAUCCCGAUGGCAAACAGGUUAAUAUUCCUGUACUGAUCAUAACUGCGAUGCAGCGACGCAGAGGUGACACUGCUGCGUACUGACGGAAUAGUACGUUGAAACCCGUAUUCUUUGAUACCGGUAGUGAAGCACGCCGGUAGAGAUGAAAGGUGAUAGUACCGCAAUGCUUCGGUUGCGCGGAUAACGCAGGUAAGCUGACUGCCAAGAAAACCUGCUAAGCUUCAGGUAAUGAUCAUCCGUACUGUAAACGGACACACGUGAUCAGGUAGAAAAUACUAAGGCGCUCGAGAGAUUCAUGGUUAAGGAACUAGGCAAAAUGGUCCUGUAACUUCGGGAUAAAGGACGCUCUUGUGAAAGAGCCGCAGAUAAUAGGCCCAGGCGACUGUUUACCAAAAACACAUGGCUAUGCUAAUUCGCAAGAAGAUGUAUAUGGCCUGACACCUGCCCGGUGCCGGAAGGUUAAGAGGAGAGCUCAGAGGCAACUCGAAGGUUUGAAUUGAAGCCCCGGUAAACGGCGGCCGUAACUAUAACGGUCCUAAGGUAGCGAAAUUCCUUGUCGGGUAAGUUC